CAGACCUCUAAUCGGAAAAGACUACCCGCUGAGUUUAAGCAUAUCACUAAGCGGAGGAGAAGAAACUAACCAGGAUUUCCCUAGUAACGGCGAGCGAACCGGAAAGAGCCCAGCUUGAAAAUCG
rnacentral:rRNA from 1 species